rnacentral:rRNA from 1 species
CACGGGGGGAACGAGCGUUGUUCGGAUUUACUGGGCGUAAAGGGUGCGUAGGCGGGUUGGCAAGUCGGGUGUGAAAUUCCAUGGCUUAACCAUGGAUCUGCAUUCGAAACUGUUGAUCUUGAGUACUGGAGAGGUGAGUGGAAUUCUCGGUGUAGCGGUGAAAUGCGUUGAUAUGCACAGGAACUCCGGUGGCGAAGGCGGCUUGCUGGACCUCUUCUGACGCUGAGGCGCGAAAGCUAGGGGAGCGAACGGGAUUAGAAACACCCCUGUAGU